UCCAACUGUUGUCCGUUCAUCGUCGAGGUGUGCGACGAGGAGAUCCAUCGUUGUUGAAGGUGGCUGGUUUCUUCUUCUCCAUUCACGAUCGUUGCUGUGGGCCAGUGUGAGAUUCUUCCCCUCCUCUGUUUGCAUCGCCAAUUUUCUCCUUUUCGUGUGUCUUGCAGCUUCGUUACACAGGGGAUCUGGACCCCUUUCUUCCUCCCCUGUUUUCAGACUUCUUCCUCUUCUUCUCUGCUUUGUCGUGGCUGAUUUGAGGGCAUCGGAUUCAUCUCUGUUUCUUCUUUCUGUCCACCGCCAGCGUGCUCCUCUGUGGUUCUUCACCGUCAACCCAUUCGUUUAGUUCCCUCAUCGGUUGCAGAUGCUUACCGUCGAUCUGUGCUCCUUCUCGCCGUCGCAUCUCUGCCUGAGAGUCAUCAGAAUUUUUUUUUCUUCUUCUCCUUUUCUUAUUUGAAUGACAUAACCCGUGAAAGUGAUAGAGAGAGAGAGAGCAUCCGACAUUUUUCUUUUUUUUCCCCCUUCACCAUCGAUCUGCUUUUCUGUACCUCAUCAUCAACUUCCCUCUUUGCCGCUGUUUUCAUCCGUUGCUCUUCUCUCCGUUCACGUCGUCGGCUGCUGUGGGGGUAGAAUCACCGAAUACUCCUCCCUUGUCAUUCUCCUCUGCUUUUUCCUUGGUUUGUGAUGGCUUGUGUAUGUGUGUCAUCUUCAACUUCUCUUCCUCCUCAUCCUCAGUUCUAGCCAUCGUGUGAUUGCAUAACUUCAUGCUGAGGCACGCAUACUCAUAAAGCGGAGAAUCAGAGUCAGAAGGUGGAUAAGAGGAGAUGCUCCAACAAGGUGGUCAAGAAAGGAUUGAGGAGGAAGAAGUGCGUCAUUGAGAGAAGAACAUGUGUAAAGGUUUUGGUCAAAUUUCAUUUUUAACAGUCACGUUUUCCAGAUUUAAUGGUAGGAUGAUACUGCACUAUUUUUGAAAGUUCUGGAGAAAUAUUGUUUUAAAAAAGUUUAAGAUACUAAACAUCAUAAAAAAAAGUUUUAAAAUAUUUUUACCCUUUAACUAUUUUUUAAUGUUUCUUUUGGGCUUGUUGCCCAUUAUCUUAUGAGGGGAAAAAAAAAAGGAAAUUGAGAAGCAUGAGCCCAUUGGAAGUUCAAAUUAGAGGACCCCUCUUUUCAUAAGCCCAUUUGUUUAAAAAGGCAAAACACUUGAAAAUAGAUUGGGUUUGCAUUGUUAAAAAGUAUGGUGAAAAAGGUAAUAAGCGUUUUGGUUCUAACUAGUUAGAGGAAAACUCAUUUGGUCUGUCUCCUUGUUAUAGAGUUUGCGUGGAUAGAGGUCAGAUUAUUAGGAACACCCUCUUCACUAAUUCCAAGAGGAAGAGAAGUGAUACAUGUUGUUCAUUUUAAAUUAAUGAACAUAGAAUGUGUAUCCCUUCAUCAUUUUCAUGGGUGCUCUUUAUUUUAUCUUGAAAUGAUACAUGUUAUUCAAAGAGUUGAUGAGUAUAUGGAUUGCAUGGAGGCUAUUUUCUUGA